UCCGGUAGAUCGAUGGUCAGCGCGUCGAGCCAGUAACCCGAGGCUUCCGGGUUCGAAUCUCCGCCUCGGAA